rnacentral:misc_RNA from 1 species
GAAAUGCGAUAAGUAGUGUGAAUUGCAGAAUUCAGUGAAUCAUCGAAUCUUUGAACGCACAUUGCGCCCCUUGGUAUUCCAUGAGGCAUGUCUGUUCGAGCGUCAUUUGUACCCUCAAGCUCUGCUUGGUGUUGGGUGUUUGUCCCGUCUCCGCGCGUGGACUCGCCCCAAAGUGAUUGGCAGCCGGCGUACUGGUCCCGGAGCGCAGCACAUGUCGCGCAAACGAGUGCCUUGGUACGGCGGCGUCCAUAAGCCCCUCUCUCACGCUCUUGACCUCGGAUCAGGUAGGGAUACCCGCUGAACUUAAGC